rnacentral:misc_RNA from 1 species
GAUGAAGAACGUAGCGAAAUGCGAUAGGUAAUGUGAAUUGCAGAAUUCAGUGAAUCAUCGAAUCUUUGAACGCACAUUGCGCCCUGUGGUAUUCCGCAGGGCAUGCCUGUUCGAGCGUCAUUUCAACCCUCAAGCUCUGCUUGGUGUUGGGCCCUGCCCGCUGCGGCCGGCCCUAAAGACAGUGGCGGUGCCGCCUGGCCCUGAGCGUAGUACAUCUCUCGCUCCAGUGCCCGGUGGUAGCCUGCCAGAACCCCAACUCUCGUGGUUGACCUCGGAUCAGGUAGGGAUACCCGCUGAACUUAAGCAUAUCAAUAAGCGGAGGA